CAAAUACGCCAACAUCAAGCGGUUGAUAAACCCGAAGUUUCAGGGGAACUUGAAAACUGGAAGACCUACGUAAUUACAACAAAUUGCAGCAACAACAAGGCAACGCCUACGACACGCCAGUGAUUACAACAAUAAUAACAGCAACAGCAAAAGCAACAUUACCUACCUAUCCAGCGUAACCUGUUGUAGCUAUUUCUAUUUCACUGUACUGCAUUGGUGCUCACCUCUCUGCAUCUAAAAUUGGGCAUUCACAAGCGGCUUAAAUACGUGGUUAACCAUCGGCUGGGAAUACACAUACAAUAUCAAGCCGGAAUCUGCAAGUGGCACACCUGUGGCCACGGGUCAGUUGAGCACCAGUUGGAGCAACAGCAUCACCAUCAACGCCACAAUCGCACACAAUGUCGAGACUCACCGAGGAAAUGGUGAUUGCGCGGUCCAAGCAAUCCGAUCUGGCCCUGAUCAAAAAGCUAAAUUGCUGGGGCAGUGAUCUCAGCGAUGUGUCCAUCAUCAAGCGAAUGCGUGGAGUGGAAGUUCUGGCUCUUAGUGUCAACAAGAUCAGCACGCUGUCGCCCUUCGAGGAAUGCAACAAACUGCAGGAACUGUAUCUGCGCAAGAACAACAUCUCCGACAUCAACGAGAUCGCCUACCUGCAAAAUCUUCCCAGUCUCAAGUAUCUCUGGCUGGAGGAAAAUCCCUGCUGCGAACGAGCUGGCCCCAACUAUCGAGCGGUCGUAUUGCGCGCCCUGCCCUACCUGAAGAAGCUCGACAAUGUUGAGGUCACGCAGGAGGAGGUGGACGAGGCGCUGCGUGGAGGCGGCGGCGCCGCACCAGAGGAUGAGGUCUACGAGGAUGCCUACCAGCAGCAGCAGCAGGCAUCGCGAACAUCGCCUCAGCAGAUACCGCAGCAGCAGCAGCAACAGCAGCAGCAACACAGCUACCCGCAACACUCGCCGCCGCAGCAGCACCAAUAUCACCACCAGCAGCAGCAUCACCAACCGCAGCAGCAGCAGCAGUCACAGCAGCAGCAGUCGCAGCAGCAGCGCCGCAGCUCCAGUCCCAUGAAAGAGGAACCCGUGCAUCCGCCAUCGCCCAUGUAUAACACCAUAACCAAAGAGCAGCGCACCUCCUACCACCAGUUCGAUCGCUCGCCGGGAUCCGACCAGGAGAGUAGUUCGCACACGUACAGGGAGGUGCGGCCCACGCCGCUCCCGCCCAGCAUUUCGGCGCACUCGAUGAAGGAAUACUAUCAGUCGGACAGACCUGCCUACCCGGCGCACUACCGCCACAGCCAGACGGACCUCACCGAGUGGGAGGAGCACCAGCAGGCGCCCCAGGUGCACCACAAUCCCUACGGCAGCCAGAUGCAGUUGCACCACCCGCAGCGGCGCUCUGCGGGACCGGAGACGACGGCCUACCGGAACGGCAGUGCUAGGGAGAACGGCGGCGAAUGGGAUCCGGAGGACAGGCCCAGGGCGAGACGUUCCGAGGGAAGAUAUAGUGACUCGACCACGACGUUGUCGGCCUCUGUGAUGAAUCACUAUGCCGGCUACCAUCGCAGACCCGUAAAUAGGAACUCGAAUAUUCUCUCCGCCACCCUCUGUUUGGUGAAGGAGUUGGACUACGCCAGUCUGGAGGUUCUGGAGCACGCUGUGCGAUGUCGCAUCGAUGAGCUGGCGGGCGAAUGAUGAAGACGACUCUCUAAUCGCAUGUCGAUUAGCUAAUCCAGCGCCUACAGGGCGUUACAAAA
rnacentral:misc_RNA from 1 species